rnacentral:rRNA from 1 species
GGGUUGUGAGGUUAAGCGACUAAGCGUACACGGUGGAUGCCCUGGCAGUCAGAGGCGAUGAAGGACGUGCUAAUCUGCGAUAAGCGUCGGUAAGGUGAUAUGAACCGUUAUAACCGGCGAUUUCCGAAUGGGGAAACCCAGUGUGAUUCGUCACACUAUCAUUAACUGAAUCCAUAGGUUAAUGAGGCGAACCGGGGGAACUGAAACAUCUAAGUACCCCGAGGAAAAGAAAUCAACCGAGAUUCCCCCAGUAGCGGCGAGCGAACGGGGAGGAGCCCAGAGCCUGAAUCAGUGUGUGUGUUAGUGGAAGCGUCUGGAAAGGCGCGCGAUACAGGGUGACAGCCCCGUACACAAAAAUGCACAUACUGUGAGCUCGAUGAGUAGGGCGGGACACGUGGUAUCCUGUCUGAAUAUGGGGGGACCAUCCUCCAAGGCUAAAUACUCCUGACUGACCGAUAGUGAACCAGUACCGUGAGGGAAAGGCGAAAAGAACCCCGGCGAGGGGAGUGAAAAAGAACCUGAAACCGUGUACGUACAAGCAGUGGGAGCACGCUUCGGCGUGUGACUGCGUACCUUUUGUAUAAUGGGUCAGCGACUUAUAUUCUGUAGCAAGGUUAACCGAAUAGGGGAGCCGAAGGGAAACCGAGUCUUAACUGGGCGUUAAGUUGCAGGGUAUAGACCCGAAACCCGGUGAUCUAGCCAUGGGCAGGUUGAAGGUUGGGUAACACUAACUGGAGGACCGAACCGACUAAUGUUGAAAAAUUAGCGGAUGACUUGUGGCUGGGGGUGAAAGGCCAAUCAAACCGGGAGAUAGCUGGUUCUCCCCGAAAGCUAUUUAGGUAGCGCCUCGUGAAUUCAUCUCCGGGGGUAGAGCACUGUUUCGGCAAGGGGGUCAUCCCGACUUACCAACCCGAUGCAAACUGCGAAUACCGGAGAAUGUUAUCACGGGAGACACACGGCGGGUGCUAACGUCCGUCGUGAAGAGGGAAACAACCCAGACCGCCAGCUAAGGUCCCAAAGUCAUGGUUAAGUGGGAAACGAUGUGGGAAGGCCCAGACAGCCAGGAUGUUGGCUUAGAAGCAGCCAUCAUUUAAAGAAAGCGUAAUAGCUCACUGGUCGAGUCGGCCUGCGCGGAAGAUGUAACGGGGCUAAACCAUGCACCGAAGCUGCGGCAGCGACACUAUGUGUUGUUGGGUAGGGGAGCGUUCUGUAAGCCUGUGAAGGUGGCCUGUGAGGGUUGCUGGAGGUAUCAGAAGUGCGAAUGCUGACAUAAGUAACGAUAAAGCGGGUGAAAAGCCCGCUCGCCGGAAGACCAAGGGUUCCUGUCCAACGUUAAUCGGGGCAGGGUGAGUCGACCCCUAAGGCGAGGCCGAAAGGCGUAGUCGAUGGGAAACAGGUUAAUAUUCCUGUACUUGGUGUUACUGCGAAGGGGGGACGGAGAAGGCUAUGUUGGCCGGGCGACGGUUGUC